UGGGGAAUAUUGGACAAUGGGCGCAAGCCUGAUCCAGCCAUGCCGCGUGGGUGAAGAAGGCCUUAGGGUUGUAAACCCCUUUCAGCGGGGAAGAUAAUGACGGUACCCGCAGAAGAAGCCCCGGCUAACUCCGUGCCAGCAGCCGCGGUAAUACGGAGGGGGCUAGCGUUGUUCGGAAUUACUGGGCGUAAAGCGCGCGUAGGCGGACCUGUAAGUCGGGGGUGAAAGCCCGAGGCUCAACCUCGGAACUGCCUUCGAUACUACAGGUCUCGAGUCCGAGAGAGGUGAGUGGAAUUCCUAGUGUAGAGGUGAAAUUCGUAGAUAUUAGGAAGAACACCAGUGGCGAAGGCGGCUCACUGGCUCGGUACUGACGCUGAGGCGCGAAAGCGUGGGGAGCAAACAGGAUUAGAUACCCCCGUAGUCC
rnacentral:rRNA from 1 species